AUACGGAGGGAGCUAGCGUUGUUCGGAAUUACUGGGCGUAAAGCGCGCGUAGGCGGUUUUUUAAGUCAGAGGUGAAAGCCCGGGGCUCAACCCCGGAAUUGCCUUUGAAACUGGAAGACUUGAAUCUUGGAGAGGUCAGUGGAAUUCCGAGUGUAGAGGUGAAAUUCGUAGAUAUUCGGAAGAACACCAGUGGCGAAGGCGACUGACUGGACAAGUAUUGACGCUGAGGCACGAAAGCGUGGGGAUC
rnacentral:rRNA from 1 species